CCUACGGGAGGCAGCAGUAGGGAAUCUUCCGCAAUGGACGAAAGUCUGACGGAGCAACGCCGCGUGAACGAUGAAGGCCUUCGGGUCGUAAAGUUCUGUUGUUAGGGAAGAACAAGUGCUAGUUAAAUAAGCUGGCACCUUGACGGUACCUAACCAGAAAGCCACGGCUAACUACGUGCCAGCAGCCGCGGUAAUACGUAGGUGGCAAGCGUUGUCCGGAAUUAUUGGGCGUAAAGCGCGCGCAGGCGGUUUCUUAAGUCUGAUGUGAAAGCCCCCGGCUCAACCGGGGAGGGUCAUUGGAAACUGGGAAACUUGAGUGCAGAAGAGGAAAGUGGAAUUCCAAGUGUAGCGGUGAAAUGCGUAGAGAUUUGGAGGAACACCAGUGGCGAAGGCGACUUUCUGGUCUGUAACUGACGCUGAGGCGCGAAAGCGUGGGGAGCAAACAGGAUUAGAUACCCUGGUAGUCCACGCUGUAAACGAUGAGUGCUAAGUGUUAGAGGGUUUCCGCCCUUUAGUGCUGAAGUUAACGCAUUAAGCACUCCGCCUGGGGAUACGGUCGCAAGACUGAAACUUAAAUGAAUUGACG
rnacentral:rRNA from 1 species